AAAACCAUUGACUCCAUUUCCAGCUCCUUGAAGGCACAUAGCUAGGUGGACAAGGCACGAUAAACAAAAUAUCAUAUAGAAGCUGUGUCUGCCAGAACUGCAAGUCACUAACAUGAUUAGGGAUGAAAACGGUCAGAAACGGUCGGUAAACACUAAAACCAUUACCGUUUUCAUAUUUUUUAUCGGAAACAAAAUCGAAAACGGUAACUCCGGAAACGGAAACGAUAUCGGUAUUUCGGAAACAUCGGAAACGAAAGUUCGGUGCGGAAAAUACACCUGUAACGGUCGAAAUCUAAAAUACGAUCGGUAAACAUAUCAAACUUCACAAUAAAACAAAAUUGACAAAACAUCACAAAUACCACAAGUUCACAAUUCAUGAUAUAACAAGUUCACAAGGAUCACAAAUUUAUAAUAUAAAAAGUUUACAAAGAUCACAAGUUCACAAUAUAACAAGUUCACAGUAUAACAAGUUCAUAAAGAUCACAAGUUAACAUACUCAAAGUUCAUAAUUCACAAUAUCCACUCGAUUUAGUUGACGUGGCAUGCUUACUCAUGAAAUAUUUUUUCCUUACAUAAAGGGUUUUUCACAGCCUCACAGGAAAACCCUAAAAUCUAAUGUGUGGAAAAGACAGACUGUCGGCUCUCUAUCAUUAUAUAUUACUAAUACAUAACAUGUGCAUAGAAAAUGGUGGAUUCGUUCGAGAGACCAAAUCGUUAAUCUCAACUACCUUCCAACACCAUCUAACCCCAAAAAAUCUUAAAGCGUCCAAAAAAUACAAAAAUAAGUAAUCCUUAUCCAGAGAUGUACAGGCGAUGCGAAAAAAUCACAUGCUGGAAAAUUCCGAAAAAAAUUCCGAGACACAAUUCCGGAAAUUUCCGAGACAUAAAUCCGGUAAUUUCCGACAAAAACCGGUAACCGAUGGAAACGGUCGGUAAAACACUACGCCGAUUCCGAUACCGAUUCCGAUAGAAAAUUCCGAAAACCGAUUCCGUUUUCGAAAAAUACCGUUACCGAUGAAUCCGAUCGAAAAAUUUCGAAAUCGGUUUCCGGAAUUCCGAAAAAUUUCGAAACCGUUUUCAUCCCUAAACAUGAUCCUGUAGCCCGUUCGCAAUGCUGCUAGCCAACUACUGCAGUAAACCAUUGCAUGAGCAUCAAAGCAUACUUAGUUUACCAAUGAUGAUCAAGA
rnacentral:lncRNA from 1 species